rnacentral:rRNA from 1 species
AGAGUUUGAUCAUGGCUCAGAACGAACGCUGGCGGCGUGGAUAAGACAUGCAAGUCGAACGAGAUUUUUUCUUGUAGCAAUACAGGGAAAAGUCUAGUGGCGAACGGGUGCGUAACACGUGGGCAAUCUGCCUUAAAGUGGGGGGAUAGCUCGGCGAAAGCCGAAUUAAUACCGCAUGUGAUCAGGGGAGACAUCUUCCCGAAAUCAAAAGUGGCGCAAGCUACUGCUUUUUGAGGAGCCCGCGGCCUAUCAGCUAGUUGGCGAGGUAACGGCUCACCAAGGCUUUGACGGGUAGCUGGUCUGAGAGGACGACCAGUCACACUGGAACUGAGACACGGUCCAGACACCUACGGGUGGCAGCAGUCGAGAAUUUUUCUCAAUGGGGGAAACCCUGAAGGAGCGACGCCGCGUGGAGGAUGAAGGUCUUCGGGUUGUAAACUCCUGUCAUUUGGGAACAAGUGCCGGUACCUAACUGCUACCGGCUUGAUAGUACCAGAAGAGGAAGGGACGGCUAACUCUGUGCCAGCAGCCGCGGUAAUACAGAGGUCUCAAGCGUUGUUCGGAUUCAUUGGGCGUAAAGGGUGUGUAGGUGGCGCCGUAAGUCGGGUGUGAAAUUUCGGAGCUUAACUCCGAAACUGCAUUCGAUACUGCGGUGCUUGAGGACUGGAGAGGAGACUGGAAUUCAUGGUGUAGCAGUGAAAUGCGUAGAGAUCAUGAGGAAGACCAGUGGCGAAGGCGGGUCUCUGGACAGUUCCUGACACUGAGACACGAAGGCCAGGGGAGCAAACGGGAUUAGAUACCCUAGUAGUCC